rnacentral:rRNA from 1 species
AGGGUUUGAUCCUGGCUCAGAACGGACGUUAGCGGUGUGGAUUAGGCAUGCAAGUCGCGCGUGAAAGCCUCCUUCGGGGGGCAAGUAAAGCGGCGCAAGGGUGGGUAACACGUAACCAACCUACCCUCGAGAUCGGAAUAACCAGUGGAAACGCUGGCUAAUGCCGGAUGGCCCAGACAGGUAGCAUUUCCAGUCUGGUAAACGGUGGCGCAAGCUGCUGCUCGUGGAGGGGGUUGCGGCCUAUUAGCUUGUUGGUGGGGUAACGGCCUACCAAGGCGAUGAUGGGUAGCGGGUCUGAGAGGAUGAUCCGUCACACUGGGACUGAGACACUGCCCAGACUCCUACGGGAGGCUGCAGUCGAGAAUCUUCCGCAAUGGGCGAAAGCCUGACGGAGCGACACCGCGUGCAGGAUGAAGGGCUUCGGCUUGUAAACUGCUGUCACGCAAUAGGAACCGCCUAUGGUCAAUAGCCAUAGGUCUGACUAAAGCGAGAGGAAGUACCGGCUAACUCCGUGCCAGCAGCCGCGGUAAUACGGAGGGUACAAACGUUGUUCGGAAUCACUGGGCAUAAAGCGCACGUAGGCGGCGUGGUCAGUCAGAUGUGAAAUCCCCCGGCUCAACCGGGGAACUGCAUUUGAUACUGCCAGGCUUGAGAAAGGUAGGGGUAAGCGGAACUCCAGGUGGAGCGGUGAAAUGCGUAGAUAUCUGGAGGAACACCUGUGGCGAAAGCGGCUUACUGGACCUCUUCUGACGCUGAGGUGCGAAAGCUAGGGUAGCGAACGGGAUUAGAUACCCCGGUAGUCCUAGCCGUAAACGAUGGGCACUAGGUAGGGGAGUUUCCUAUGAUCUUCUCUGCCGUAGCUAUGUGUUAAGUGCCCCGCCUGGGGAGUACGCCCGCAAGGGUAAAACUCAAAGGAAUUGACGGGGAUCACACAAGCGGUGGAGCAUGUGGUUUAAUUCGAAACAACGCGAAGAACCUUACCUGGCCUCGACAUGCACGGAUUAGCUUCCUGAAAGGGAAGUGACAGCUCUUCGGAGUCGGAACGUGCACAGGUGUUGCAUGGCUGUCGUCAGCUCGUGUCGUGAGAUGUUGGGUUAAGUCCCGUAACGAGCGAAACCCCUAUUGUUAGUUGCCAGCGGGUAAUGCCGGGGACUCUAGCGAGACUGCCGUUGUCAAAACGGAGGAAGGUGGGGAUGACGUCAAGUCAUCAUGGCCCUUAUGGCCAGGGCGACACACGUGCUACAAUGGUCCAUACAAAGGGUUCCGAGACCGCAAGGUGGAGGCAAUCCCAGAAAGUGGGCCUCAGUUCGGAUUGCAGGCUGAAAUUCGCCUGCAUGAAACUGGAAUCGCUAGUAAUCGCGUAUCAGCCAUGACGCGGUGAAUAUGUUCCUGAUCCUUGUACACACCGCCCGUCAAGCCACGAGAGCGGGGAGCGCUCGAAGUCGCUUUGUCUAACCUUCGGGAGGACGGCGCCGAAAGCGAGCUCCGUGAUUG